UGAGGAAUAUUGCACAAUGGGCGCAAGCCUGAUGCAGCGACGCCGCGUGUGGGAUGAAGGGGCUACGCCUCGUAAACCACUGUAGCCCGGGACGAAAAACGCCUUAGAGGCGUUAGACGGUACCGGGAAAGUAAGGGUCGGCUAACUACGUGCCAGCAGCCGCGGUAAUACGUAGGACCCAAGCGUUGUCCGGAUUUACUGGGCGUAAAGGGCGCGUAGGCGGCCUGUUAAGUUAGGAGUGAAAGCCCCGGGCUCAACCUGGGAAUUGCUUUUAAUACUGGCAGGGAUGAGUUCCCGAGAGGAUGGUGGAAUUCCCAGUGUAGAGGUGAAAUUCGUAGAUAUUGGGAAGAACACCGGUGGCUAAGGCGGCCAUCUGGACAGACACUGACGCUGAGGCGCGAAAGCGUGGGGAGCAAACA
rnacentral:rRNA from 1 species